AGUGAACGCUGGCGGUAGGCCUAACACAUGCAAGUCGAACGGCAGCACAGUAAGAGCUUGCUCUUACGGGUGGCGAGUGGCGGACGGGUGAGGAAUACAUCGGAAUCUACUUUUUCGUGGGGGAUAACGUAGGGAAACUUACGCUAAUACCGCAUACGACCUACGGGUUAAAGCAGGAGAUCUUCGGACCUUGCGCGAUUGAAUGAGCCGAUGUCGGAUUAGCUAGUUGGCGGGGUAAAGGCCCACCAAGGCGACGAUCCGUAGCUGGUCUGAGAGGAUGAUCAGCCACACUGGAACUGAGACACGGUCCAGACUCCUACGGGAGGCAGCAGUGGGGAAUAUUGGACAAUGGGCGCAAGCCUGAUCCAGCCAUACCGCGUGGGUGAAGAAGGCCUUCGGGUUGUAAAGCCCUGUUGUUGGGAAAGAAAAGCAGCAGGUUAAUACCCCGCUGUUCUGACGGUACCCAAAGAAUAAGCACCGGCUAACUUCGUG
rnacentral:rRNA from 1 species